GGGAGACUCUGGCUCAGUGGUAGCUGCUGGGGGCUCUGGCUAUCUUGGAUCUUGGGAUCGAGACUCAUCCUUCCAGCCUCUGCUCUGCCUUCACAUGGCCUGCUCCUCCCUCUGUGGGUGUCUGUGUGCAGUCUCCCUCUGCCUUUUCUCCAAUUGGACUCUUGUUGUGGACGUAGGGCUCACUGGCAUAAUCCAGGAGGAUCUCAUCUGGAGAUCCUUAACUUGAUCACAUUCUCAAAGACCUUUUAUCCAAAUGAGGUCAUAUUCUUAGGUUCCAGAUGGACAAACCUUCUGGGGGAGGAGAGGCUCCAUUCAACCCACUACAGGCUUUGGGUCCUGGUGAGCCUUGAUGCAUGAAUCACCUGCAAGACGGGCCCUGCCAGGGGCGGGAUGUCUCGGACAAUGGAUGAGCAAUAAAACCACAGGCUGCGCGAUGCUUCUGAGCAUGAAAGAGAAGGUCAAGGUCAAAGCACCUCGCCUUCUCUACCCUUUUGUCUCGCUCUGCCUCCCUCACACUCCCUGAAGCCUGUCUCCCACUCUUCAAACAUUUCUUAAUAAUCUGUAAUUUCGUGAAAGGGAUAAAGGAUACGAGGAACCCAGAAGGUAACUGGAUUUACAUAUGAAUGUUGCGUUUUCAUUUUAAUUUUGACAAAGUGUAAAGGUUGCUAAUAAAAGCAUCAUUACUGCCUCACCAUUUCUUUGAUGGACCGUAGAACAGAUUGCUGAGAUAUGGAGACAGAUCCAGGGGUCACCAGGUUUACCAGGAGCUAUCGUUCAUCCUUUAACAAAAAACAAAACAUCAUGACAAUUUUUUUUUUUAAGAAAAGAAUUUAAAAAAAGAAAUGACAUUAUUUUCAAGGAAGUUAUGGCCAUUGUGAGUACUUCACAGAGAGACUGAAUCCAAUGCCGGCUUCAGGGAAGGCUCUGUGUUUCCUGAGACCCUGGGUCUUUGGGGGCUACCAAGAGUCUGUGGCUCCUUUUAACGAAGAGGCCUUGGAUCAGCCCUGGAGGUGGGCAGAGCAGGGGUGGCUGGGC
rnacentral:lncRNA from 1 species